rnacentral:lncRNA from 1 species
GCCCGGUGUGGUGCUACGACGUCUUUCAAGAAAUUAUGGUUCAGACUUUUCAAUAACGUAGCCAAAGUUCAUGCUAACUUGUUUCUUACUCUCCACGCAUGCUCUGAAUUUGACCUCUUCAAACUUUUAAUAAGGUUUUCAGCCAAAGAAUAAGGUGCCUUUGACGUGGUCUCGGUCCUUUGGUUUUUCAGGAUUCCAAAACUGACUGAUGACCAACUUGGAGUCACCAAUGACUUUGAUAG